AGAAUCAACGCUGGCGGCGUGCCUAACACAUGCAAGUCGCACGAGAAACGGACUUCGGUCCUGAGUAAAGUGGCGCACGGGUGAGUAACACGUGAAUUAUCUACCUCCGAGUGGGGAAUAACUGGAAGAAAUUUCAGCUAAUACCGCAUAACACUUACGAGUCAAAGCAGUAAUGCGCUUGGAGAGGAGUUCGCGGCAGAUUAGUUAGUUGGCGGGGUAAUGGCCCACCAAGACGAUGAUCUGUA
rnacentral:rRNA from 1 species